UUCCCUGGUGGCCUAGUGGUUAAGGAUUCAACAUUGUCACUGCUGUGGCUUGGGUUCAUUCCCUGGCCCAGGAACUUCUGCAUCCCAUGGAACACCUGAGAGAUACCAAGAAGUCAGCGGGUCUCAAAGGGUACAUGCUGGUACUAAUGGCCAAUUCAAGCUGUCCUCCAGGUGUUCUCUGGUAGGUAUCUCUGAUAUCCUGCCAGGUAUGCCAUGCAAAUGUUGAUGAAAAAUUAAUCAAUAGUCAAUCUAAGAUAGAAAUGAAAGUUUUUAUUCAAGCCAACCUGAAGAGUAUAACCUAGGAGAUAGUCUCUCAGAGAGCUCUGAGAACUUUCUGCCUGUUAGAGGUCAAAAGAUAGUAUAUACAUUUUUGAGACAGAAGGUUAUACAUCAAAUGAUGUAUUGACAGUUUAUACAAUCCAGAUCUGUAUGUACAAAGUAGUGGGUCAUCCCAGGAUUAAGAAGGAAUAUUAUCUCCUAAGAAGUUAUGCAGUAGUAGACUAUUGUGAAGCCUUACAAGAUUAAGAAGGAAUGUUAUCUCUAAGGAGUUAUCUUGCUGGUGCUAGGAGAAUAUUGCUCUAGAGGGCUGAGCAGGUAUUUCUGCUUUUGUGGAGGUCUGGUGAAUGCAUAAUGUGGUUACACAAUGCACACUAGAUGGGAGGGAAGAGGCCAAAGGGCAGAGAAAAUUUUCAUGUUUAAAUUUUCCUUAAAUUGCUUUAAAAUAUGAACUUUUAUUUCAUCAAAACUAACUAAAACUAAAUAGGCAAACAAAACCAGACCAGCUGUUAUCUAGGGCAUUCCCCCCACAGGCUUUCCCCCUUUCUUCUCUGGGUCCAAAGGACAAAACACUGCAUUGCCUGAGUCUGCUACUGUGAAUCAGGUUUAAAAUGGCCAUUCUGGGUUCUUCUGAAUAGCGCCUAGGGUGAAGCAUUUGCAACCCCACCCAAUUCUUCAUCACCACCCUCCCCCAACUCUAACACAAGGAGGCAGAGAUUUAGAAGCCCCUUUGUUCCAUAGAGGCCUCCUGUGACUCAGCCACUUCUAGCCCAGUGGUUUCCUCGUCUCCUUCAAGCAAAAGUAAAUCAAGAGACCCUGGGGUGGUUGUGAAAUCUGAUGCAAAUUUAGGAAAGCUGGGGGGAAGAAAAGGAAACAUCAACAGUUUUAGUCCAGGGGUGAAAUGCAAUCCUCCUACUACCAAUUAAACAUUUAUUGAGUGCUUAGCAUUAUAUUAAGUGCUUUGUUUUAAUCUUCAUAAAAAUGAAAUGUGAUAGAUAGAUACUACUAUUAUUAUUCCUAUUUUUCACGUAAGCAAACAGAGGUUCAAGGCAAGUAGUUGCUCAUGAUCACACAACUGGAGCACAAAUAUGCCUUACUACAGUUGUUAGGGGCAGGGGAUAUGGGUGCCAAUCCUUUUCAAUAACUUGCACUUCCUGGCUAACUGAUGCUUCCAUAGCUCCAUCCUAUCUGCUCAAAUCCUUGCCCUGGGAAAAUAUGGCUUCCCUCUCCAUUAGAUCAGAUGUAUUAGAAAAGGCAUUGGACUAGAAGUCCAGAGAAUGAAUUGCCAGGUGGGAAGUGUUUCUUGUUAGAGCACUGAUCCUAGUCACCUACCUCACUCCCCUUAGGACCCUAAUGAACUCAGCCCCAUAUAGAGCAAGAAUCGAAGCUCACUGAUUGGAAACUAUCCACUUGAUAAAAUGCAUUUUAGAAAAUUUUUAGAAAACAUUCAGAAGUUUGGUACCAGUGACCCCAUUUUUGCCACAAUAUUUAUGUCAAUAAGGUGGUUAUGCAAUAGAUGAGCCUUGCUGGUGAGAGGUGCUGCCCUCCUGGUACUUUCUGAGAAACCAAACCAAGGUGUUAAAGGACCUUGGCUUCCAAACACUCCUCUCUGGGACAAUUGAGAAUAACAUCAUUGUGCUCCCUCAGUUUUUUGGUUAUCAACCCCUCCUUUCUAGAAAAAAGCAAUUGUCCUACACUUUUAUCAAACUCAAGCACAUCUGACAUUUCUCAUCUACGAAUUUGCAUAUCAGCUUGAGAUCCAGCUUCCUUCCCAGUAGUCCUGCUCAUUUGUCAAGAACACAAACCCUGAGACUCUGAACCUUUAACUUAUAAAUAUCAAAGCUCCAAGAUUCUGUAUGCACUACUCAGUCCAGUCUUUUUAUUGCCAAGAGGAGGACUCUACCUCCAGGAGACAUAAAGCAGUCUAUUCGUAGUAAACAGAGUUGUGGUGUACUGGAAUAACUCUUAUGGACUCAGGAAAUCAGAUUGUGUGCAUUUAUUCCCAACUCUACCUUUAGUAGUGUAAGUUCGUAUCUUAAAAUUGGUCAUAGUGUAUAUAAUACCAUGGCAAUCAGCAAUAUACAUACCAGGAAUUUUUCAGAGUGCUGGUUGUUAAAUCAGCACACCAUUGGAGCUGGCUGAUAUAUUGCUUGCAGGCUUUCUUUGUCUAUGUAGAUCCUUCUCAAACUGAUAGACUGAGCUGAUAUCUCCUCUUCAAAACCCCACCAUAAAGUUCUUAGAAGUCACCAGGUCUGCAGCUUGCCACACACAGGGAACAAUGGAAUCUCCAAAAGCAAGUAAACUUUCUCAAAGGUGACUUUAUCAUACAUAUUACCAGCUGCAUUCUGUGUGAGGCCCUGGCAGCCUCCAGCAUCAUCACAGAACCAGUAAAGUGAAAUGAAGAGGUGGGAAACAAAAAUCAAGUCAUUCAUUAGAAAAAUAAAAAGGGAUAAGAGGAAAAGCAGAAUGGCAAAUAGAAAAGUAGAUGAGGUUUGAUAAAGAUUAGAACUUUGUGAAUUCUUUUUAUUUAUUUAUUCAUUUUUGGUGAUUCACAAUUUUAAAGGUUAUAGUCCAUUUACAGUUAUUAUAAAAUAUUUACUGCAUUCCCCAUGUUGUACAAUAUAUCUUUGUAGCUUAUUUUAUACCUAAUAAAAACUUAAACUUUGUUAAUUCUUCAGUAGUAUAUGCACCAUAGAGUUUCAGAGCUUUGAAAUGAGCCUACUGGGAGGAGGGGAUGGGGCAAUAUACCUCUUUUUUUUUUUUUUUUUUUUUUUUUUUUUUUUUCUUUUUGUCCUUUCCAGGGCCGCACCCGCGGCAUGUGGAGGUUCCCAUGCUAGGGGUCUAAUCGGAGCUACUGCUGCUGGCCUACAUCACAGCC
rnacentral:lncRNA from 1 species